rnacentral:rRNA from 1 species
UACGUAGGGGGCAAGCGUUGUCCGGAAUCAUUGGGCGUAAAGAGCGUGUAGGCGGCUCGAUAAGUCCGCUCUGAAAGCCCGGGGCUCAACCCCGGGAGGCGGGCGGAUACUGUCGAGCUAGAGUCCGGAAGAGGCGAGUGGAAUUCCUGGUGUAGCGGUGAAAUGCGCAGAUAUCAGGAGGAACACCAAUGGCGAAGGCAGCUCGCUGGGAAGGUACUGACGCUGAGACGCGAAAGCGUGGGGAGCAAGCAGG